UACGGAGGAUGCAAGCGUUAUCCGGAAUGAUUGGGCGUAAAGCGUACGCAGGUGGCAAUGUAAGUCUGCUGUCAAAGCGUCUGGCUCAACCAGAUAAAGGCAGUGGAAACUACAUAGCUAGAGUAAGGUAGGGGUAGAGGGAAUUCCCGGUGUAGCGGUGAAAUGCGUAGAGCUCGGGAAGAACAUCGGUGGCGAAAGCGCUCUGCUGGACUGCAACUGACACUCAGGGACGAAAGCUAGGGGAGCGAAUGGG
rnacentral:rRNA from 1 species